ensembl:antisense
GACAUGAAUCCACCUGCCUCUGCCUGCUGCUGAGUGCUGGGAUUAAAGGUGAUUCCUCAGACCCUGUUCAACUGUCCUGUGGGCCUGGACAAGAAAGCUGCUCGUCAUUGGAGGGUAGGCCUACCUGCUCAUCUUGAGAAGCACCAGAGAGCAACUUCUGUUUGCUGAAGACGACCCGGAUUAACCCAUUGCGAGACAGUCCAGGAUGAAUAGAAAUUGAAGCAGCGCAGAUCAUAGGAGAAAUAUGGUCAAGAAGUGCACUCUUCAUUGUUCCUGCUCCAUGCCUUUUCUCCACUCUAUUGAUUCUAAUCCUUUUAAACCAUAAGCUCAAUUAUCUCUAAUUUUCCAUUUUAAGGUUAAUCUAGACAGGGUUUCUCUGUGUACAUAUAUGUACAUAACCCUGACUGUCCUUGAACUCACUCUGUUAACCAGGCUGGCUUGUGCUCAGUUCUGGCUGACUCUGUCUCCCAAGAGGUGGGAUUAAAGGUGUGCUUUGCCACCAUUGAGCCAUCUCACCAGUCCCAGGUCCAUAUGAUUUUUUUUAAAGAUUUAUUUUUUAUUAUACAUAAGUACACUGUAGCUGUCUUCAGACACACCAGAAGAGAGCAUUGGAUCUCAUUACAGAUGGUUGUGAGCCACCAUGUGGUUGCUGGGAUUUGAACUCGGGACCUCCGGAAGAACAGUCAUUGCUCUUAACCGCUGAGCCAUCUCUGACUAUUAACAAUUAUUUUCUUUGCUUCUUUUCUUUUUUAAAAAAGAUUUUUAUGUGUGUUGCUGUUCUGCCUAUAUGUAUAUCUGUGUGAAGGGUAACAUAUCCUCUGGAAUGGAUUACAGACAGUUGUUAGCUAUGGUCUUUAUGCCAGAAAUUGAAUCCAGGCACUCUGGAAGAACAGCAAGUGGUCUUCACUACCAAGUCAUCUCCCCAGGCCAUAUGCUCUGGGUUUAAAAAGUGGUUUGGGAGAAAAAAAAGAGGUCAAGAAAUCCUUAGAGAACAGUGAGGAGAGGUAUAUGUGAAGGUUUAAAGGAUGAAGGGAGAAAGCAGAAGUGUUUUUUUAAUAAGAUAUUUUCUUUAUUUACAUUUCAAAUGUUAUCUCCUUUCCUAGUUUCUUAUUUAAAAACUUUGUAUACCUUUCCCCAACCACUGCUCUCCAACCCACCCACUCCCAUUUCUGGACCCUGUCAUUCCUCUAUACUGGGUCAUAGAAACUUCACAGGACCAAGCGCCUCUCCUCUCAUUGAGGACCGACUAGCCCAUCCUCUGGUAUAUAUGCAGCUAGAGCCAUGAGUCCCACCAUGUGAUUUCUUGGAUUGAUGUUUAGUCCCAGAAAGCUCUAGGGGUACUGGUUAGUUCAUAUUGUUGUUCCUUCUAUGGGGCUGCAAACCCCUUCAACUCCUUGGGUCCUUUCUCUAGCUCCUUCAUUGGGGACCCUGUGCUAUGCCCAAUUCAUGGCUGUGAGCAUCCACUUCUGUAUUUGUCAGACACUGGCAGAGCCUCUUAGCAGACAGCUAUAUAAGGCUCCUGUCAGCAAACUCUUGUUGGCAUCCACAAUAAUGUCUGGGUUUGGUGGUUGUAUAUGGGAUAGAUCUCCAGGUGGGGCAGCCUCUGUAUGGUCAUUCCUUCAGUCUCUGCUCCCUCUUCUAAGAAGGAUCGAAGUAUCUACACUUUGGCCUUCCUUCUUUUUGAGUUUAUGUGUUUUGCAAAUUGUAUCUUGGGUAUUGAAAAAGGGAAAUUUAUAGUCUCCAAAAAGGCCUUUUUAUAAAAAAAAAAAUUGGCAUAUGACUUUUGCAGUGAAAAGCUGCCCACAUGGCCUGAUCAUCUGAUUCAAUUGUAUAGCAAUGAAAUGACAGAUGUCACAGCCAAAUGGCUUGUACAUCUAACCAUGGUGUUUGUUUCAGAGAUAGGUUUCAUGAUGUAGACCUGGUUGGCCUGAAAUUAGCUCUGUAGACCACGCUGCCCUCAGAACUCAGAUCUUCCACCCGCCUGUGCCUCCCCAGUGUCAGGAUGAAAGGUGUGCACCAUCACAUUUGGCCUCUUUACUGCAUAACAACACUGAAAUCACCAGCCUGGGCUUGCAAAUAGGCCUUUAUUAUCUUUGAGGAAGAGGAUACACAACCCAUUCAGUUUUCAAGAGCAGAUGUUCAAGGCAUAUGAAGUCAGAGAGCUGAGGCUGAGCUCAUCUGUAAUCAACUGAAUUAUGCUCACAUCAUCACAUGCUGUUUUAUAAAUGAAGCUGCCAACAGG